rnacentral:ncRNA from 1 species
ACAAUAGAGGCGCGAUGAUUAUCAGUAUCUGUCUGGAGGCUUGCGAGAGCCAAAGAAGGACAGAAAAAGGAUGAUUCGCCGAAACCAGUGAUGUUCGCAGGUCACUGAGUUGGGGUGCCGUUUAAGAGAUGGUACACUCUCACCUAUCUGGUGGAGGAGCUAUUG